AAAUUGAAGAGUUUGAUCAUGGCUCAGAUUGAACGCUGGCGGCAGGCCUAACACAUGCAAGUCGAACGGUAACAGGAAGCAGCUUGCUGCUUUGCUGACGAGUGGCGGACGGGUGAGUAAUGUCUGGGAAACUGCCUGAUGGAGGGGGAUAACUACUGGAAACGGUGGCUAAUACCGCAUAACGUCGCAAGACCAAAGAGGGGGACCUUCGGGCCUCUUGCCAUCAGAUGUGCCCAGAUGGGAUUAGCUUGUUGGUGAGGUAACGGCUCACCAAGGCGACGAUCCCUAGCUGGUCUGAGAGGAUGACCAGCCACACUGGAACUGAGACACGGUCCAGACUCCUACGGGAGGCAGCAGUGGGGAAUAUUGCACAAUGGGCGCAAGCCUGAUGCAGCCAUGCCGCGUGUAUGAAGAAGGCCUUCGGGUUGUAAAGUACUUUCAGCAGGGAGGAAGGUGUUG
rnacentral:rRNA from 2 species